UAGAGAUAGAAAUGUAGCCGUGUUAGUCUGGUCUAGCUGAAACAACAGACAGAACUAUGUAGCACUUUAAAGACUAACAAGAUGGUUUAUUAGGUGAUGAGCUUUCGUGGGCCAGACCCACUUCCUCAGAUCAAAUAGUGGAA